rnacentral:rRNA from 1 species
AGCGGCGGAUGGGUGAGUAACACGUGGGGAACCUGCCCCUAAGUCUGGGAUACCAUUUGGAAACAAGUGCUAAUACCGGAUAAUAAAGCAGAUCGCAUGAUCAGCUUUUGAAAGGCGGCGUAAGCUGUCGCUAAGGGAUGGCCCCGCGGUGCAUUAGCUAGUUGGUAAGGUAACGGCUUACCAAGGCGACGAUGCAUAGCCGAGUUGAGAGACUGAUCGGCCACAUUGGGACUGAGACACGGCCCAAACUCCUACGGGAGGCAGCAGUAGGGAAUCUUCCACAAUGGACGCAAGUCUGAUGGAGCAACGCCGCGUGAGUGAAGAAGGUUUUCGGAUCGUAAAGCUCUGUUGUUGGUGAAGAAGGAUAGAGGUAGUAACUGGCCUUUAUUUGACGGUAAUCAACCAGAAAGUCACGGCUAACUACGUGCCAGCAGCCGCGGUAAUACGUAGGUGACAAGCGUUGUCCGGAUUUAUUGGGCGUAAAGCGAGCGCAGGCGGAAAAAUAAGUCUAAUGUGGAAGCCCUCGGCUUAACCGAGGAACUGCAUCGGAAACUGUUUUUCUUGAGUGCAGAAGAGGAGAGUGGAACUCCAUGUGUAGCGGUGGAAUGCGUAGAUAUAUGGAAGAACACCAGUGGCGAAAGGCGGCUCUCUGGUCUGCAACUGACGCUGAGGCUCGAAAGCAUGGGUAGCGAACAGGAUUAGAUACCCUGGUAGUCCAUGCCGUAACGAUGAGUGCUAAGUGU